UACGAAGGGGGCUAGCGUUGCUCGGAAUCACUGGGCGUAAAGCGCACGUAGGCGGCUUUCUAAGUCAGGGGUGAAAUCCUGGAGCUCAACUCCAGAACUGCCUUUGAUACUGGAAAGCUUGGGUUCGGGAGAGGUGAGUGGAACUGCGAGUGUAGAGGUGAAAUUCGUAGAUAUUAGGAAGAACACCAGUGGCGAAGGCGGCUCACUGGUCCGGUACUGACGCUGAGGUGCGAAAGCGUGGGGAGCAAACAGG
rnacentral:rRNA from 1 species